rnacentral:rRNA from 1 species
GAUGAACGCUGGCUACAGGCUUAACACAUGCAAGUCGAGGGGAAACGACAUCGAAAGCUUGCUUUUGAUGGGCGUCGACCGGCGCACGGGUGAGUAACGCGUAUCCAACCUGCCCCUCACUUGGGAAUAACCUUGCGAAAGUAAGACUAAUACCCAAUGACAUCCCACGAAGACAUCUGAAUGGGAUUAAAGAUUUAUCGGUGAUGGAUGGGGAUGCGUCUGAUUAGCUUGUUGGCGGGGUAACGGCCCACCAAGGCAACGAUCAGGAGGGGUUCUGAGAGGCAGGUCCCCCACAUUGGAACUGCGACCCGGUCCAAAAUCCUACGGGAGGCAGCAGUGAGGAAUAUUGGGCAAUGGGCGAGAGCCUGAACCAGCCAAGUAGCGUGCAGGAUGACGGCCCUAUGGGUUGUAAACUGCUUUUAUAAGGGAAUAAAGUGGGUCUCGUGAGACUUUUUGCAUGUACCUUAUGAAUAAGGACCGGCUGAUUCCGUG